rnacentral:sRNA from 1 species
UGCAUUGAUCGAUGAUGGAGAUAUUUCCCUCAAUUCCUUGAUUUACACCUAUUCUCUAUCUUCCUCAAUGAGCUAUUGGUACAGAAUAGGCUUGAGUUGAGUUGGACAGCACCAAACAAGGCAGAGUAACCAGCCACAUCCAUCCCUUGCUGCCAAAAACGUCCAACUCUCUGGACAACUGGAACAUUAUCGCCCAAUCGGGAGAUCCUGCAAAAGCAAGGUCGCCAGCAUGGGAUUUCCUUAUCCGGCUGAGCGAUUAAAUCCUGUCUGUACGACUUACGAUAAAAUGAAUGACAAAAAUAAAUAAAUAGAAAAACACUAGUGAAGAUGGGCCGACGAGACUUGAUUCCUGACGAGCUACUAGUCGACGCUGCCGUGCCAUUUCGUGAUGGAAAUCCAAUGGUCAGUCCUUGAGAAGAGCUGUGAAAAGGUUCUUGGGUGUGCGAGGGGGUGAUAAAAGUGACGGUAUCACACCCACAUGCUACGUAGGAACCGGUUCGGUGACAAAAAGGUGCUUCAGCUGGGAAAGAAGGAAAGUACCUCAUUGCGGCGCUGAGUUUUGGGGACCCGAGGAACGACAACAACCCACAUCGACGGCCAUAUAUGCCUGGGGGAAAAGUGCCAGGAAAGUUAUUGCGAGAGGGUUUUGGAAUCAACCCCUGUACCUAGGUGGCCCUUUGAGGAGGCUCUGUUGGGGGAGCAUCCAUCUACAACAUCAGGGAGCUUUACCACUACGACGAGGAAAUCAGCAAAAUGUUUUGAUGAAUAUCCCUCAUCCUUUACGUGGCCCUCCCUUCCUUCUGGCUCUGAGAGGCACAACCACCUACUUGAAUUGUACUCGAGGACAGCGAUCGUGAGCAGUGCGACGACCAUGAAUGGGAGGAGGUGGGGAUGAUGAUGAUGAUGUGCUUUUUUGAUGAAUGGCCCUCCUUCUGCCCUCCUUUUGUCCUUUCUCCGCUUUAGCCUGAUCAAGCUCAAAGUUUGGUGCCUGAAGCUUGACCAAACUCUUCAUCUGUAACUUUCUGCAGUCAUUUGAGGUUCAGUACGCGUUUUGUACGGCGUAUUGAUCUUUCAUUUUAUAUUUCACGCUCCUCCAUGUCCUCCAUGUAAUCAUGGCCAGAACCAGCAUACCCAGCCA